GACUACCGGACCAACUAUGGACCAAUUACGAGACAUUUGUCUUGAACAACAGAAGCGGUCUUUAUUUUGGUGCGGCAUUAUUUGCACUUGGAUUCACAACUGUCAUUAUCACAGGAUUUGUGUCCUUAUGCCGAAGUUACUUGGAGAAAGGGCAUACACCCAUACUUACCUGGAGACCAGGCAUACACAUGCUGUAUAGAUGAAUUACAUAGAUGAAUGAACAAAGGAAGUUGUAAA